GAUGAACGCUGGCGGCGUGCCUAAUACAUGCAAGUCGAGCGAACGGACGAGAAGCUUGCUUCUCUGAUGUUAGCGGCGGACGGGUGAGUAACACGUGGAUAACCUACCUAUAAGACUGGGAUAACUUCGGGAAACCGGAGCUAAUACCGGAUAAUAUUUUGAACCGCAUGGUUCAAAAGUGAAAGACGGUCUUGCUGUCACUUAUAGAUGGAUCCGCGCUGCAUUAGCUAGUUGGUAAGGUAACGGCUUACCAAGGCAACGAUGCAUAGCCGACCUGAGAGGGUGAUCGGCCACACUGGAACGGAGCCACGGUCCAAACUCCUACGGGAGGCAGCAGUAGGGAAUCUUCCGCAAUGGGCGAAAGCCUGACGGAGCAACGCCGCGUGAGUGAUGAAGGUCUUCGGAUCGUAAAACUCUGUUAUUAGGGAAGAACAUAUGUGUAAGUAACUGUGCACAUCUUGACGGUACCUAAUCAGAAAGCCACGGCUAACUACGUG
rnacentral:rRNA from 1 species